rnacentral:piRNA from 1 species
UGCUGAUUGGUAGUCUUUGGUGAA